rnacentral:rRNA from 1 species
UACGUAGGGUGCGAGCGUUUAAUCGGAAUUACUGGGCGUAAAGCGUGCGCAGGCGGUUGGUUAAGUCUGAUGUGAAAGCCCCGGGCUCAACCUGGGAAUGGCAUUGGAAACUGGCUGGCUAGAGUGUGGCAGAGGGGGGGUGGAAUUCCGCGUGUAGCAGUGAAAUGCGUAGAGAUGCGGAGGAACACCGAUGGCGAAGGCAGCCCCCUGGGCUAGCACUGACGCUCAGGCACGAAAGCGUGGGGAGCAAACAGG